rnacentral:rRNA from 1 species
AUUGAACGCUGGCGGCAGGCCUAACACAUGCAAGUCGAGCGAGGGGCGGACGGGUGAGUAAUGUAUGGGGAUCUGCCUUAUGGCGGGGGAUAACUACUGGAAACGGUAGCUAAUACCGCAUACCAUCAAAUGAACCCAUGUGGGAUUAGCUAGGAGGUGGGGUAACGGCUUACCUAGGAGACGAUCCCUCGCUGGUCUGAGAGGAUGAUCAGCCACACGGGGACUGAGACACGGCCCAGACUCCUACGGGAGGCAGCAGUGGGGAAUAUUGCGCAAUGGGCGCAAGCCUGAUGCAGCCAUGCCGCGUGUAUGAAGAAGGCCUUCGGGUUGUAAAGUACUUUCAGUCGGGAGGCGUUACCGACAGAAGAAGCGCCGGCUAACUACGUGCCAGCAGCCGCGGUAAUAC